UUGAAAAAGAAAUUUUCUCUCCCAAUACGCAAUAAGGUUAUUUUACUUAUAGCCCGAAUGGCACACCAUAUUUUUCAAUCUCCUUCAUUCGGCCAUUUUCACACACCGCGCCGUUAGCCUGUUUGCGCUGUUCGUGGAAGUUGCAGAGGAUGUACUCAUCGCAUUUCAACGAUGAUAUAAUAUGUACAGCAAAAAUUGAUGGCAAGGGUGACAUGAAUCAGAUUGACAAGAAUUCAUAUAAUGCUAUCAUCACUGCCAUCAGAUUCAUACAUAGCUUCCUUGUUGUGCCUGCCAAUAGCAAGGUACCAGAUUAUACAGCAGUUAUGUGGAAACAGAUUCCCACAAUAGGGGGACCAGAUUGACACCUACAUUGUACAGUAUCAGGCAGUUAUAUCAGAACUGGAAAAACUGGAUCCAAACAAGACUAUAUUGCUUGGAAGAAACAUGUCGACUCUGAAGUUUACCCUUAAUUUCACAUUACCAUUACUCCUAUUUUGAAAUAUAAUGUAUUACAUUACUUGAGAGUGAAUUUACAUUACACAUUUACAUAACAUACUGUCAGAUAUUAAAGAAAUGGCAGAAAAAUUAUUUCUGUAUUCUGAUUUUUAAUUAUACAUUAACAUAAGUACACAAAAUAUUCAGCAAUGUUAGGAAACAUAUCUAUUAAGUUAUUCAUUGCAUUUGAUUGUCAUCAAUGUUUCAAAUGCUUCAGUCAAUCUCACUAAUAAAAUGAAUUAUUCUAAAUCUUCAAAAUAUCAUCAAAUAUUUGAAGUAGUGUAAAUGUAAUGAAAAAUAAUGUACAGUACAGUAUGCAUUACAUUACCAUUACUUGUAAUGCAAAAAUGGUCUAUUACACCCGCAUUACAUUGAAACUGGCUGUCAUUUAAUUACCAUUACCACAGGCCUGGUUCUGUCGAGAGGUAUUGAAAUUGUCUGUAGAGACUUUGUCUCAGGAAGUGGCCGAGAUUGGUGGUGACAAUUUUGUUGGAUGUGAAUUUACUGACACACAUGUCUACACUUGCUACACAAUAUAUCAUGUGGUGGUUUCAACAAGAAAGUUCUUACUCUGCAGGAAAUGAUGAACAGCUAAUGGAUUCACAUUUUUUCUGACUUUUCUUCUGUACAUUAGAUGCAUUGGAAAAACUUUCCUUUCCAUUAUCUUUUGCUGGUUCAUACUUUGAAAUAAAAUCAAGUCCGAAAAUAAAGUAUUUUGGUUGGGUUUUUUUCAAUGAAUUUUAAAAAAUGUAAUAUGUAAUCCUUGCAUAUUUUCUUGGUGUUCUGUGAUUGCAUAGGCCUAUUGAUUUUUAUUUGUAUUCAGGUAUAAUUUCAUCUUCAGUGUCUUGAAAGAAAUUAAUUUUUCAAUAAUGCCAAGAAAAAUGUAGUUAACAGUAUGAUUUAAAAAAAAAAUAUAUAUUGACACGGGUAGGAAUUGAACCCGGAUCUCCUGCUUGAAGGACGGGCUCUCUACCACUAAGCCACGGCGUACAUGACGUCACUCGCUCAAAAAUCCUCUAUGCAUUUACUUGCCCUAGUUAACGUUAUACUUUCGAAAUAUCGGUAAUAGUUUUAGUUAUAUCAAUGCAUGUUCUAUAAAUUCUUUUCAUUUUGAUCUUAGUAAUUCUGUUGGUGUCGUCUAAAUAAAAACUUUCUAUAGCAUUGAAGGUCCGAUUUGUCGGACAGCAGAUUCGUUUGUUUACGCAUCAAAAUUCUAUAGCUUUUAGAAUUCCUGCACAAACUUGUGAUAAAAACACCAUAUAGGGGUGUAUUCUGCAUGGAAAUGAUGUAGACUCCACAUAAGUAUAUUGUUUUAAUUUUUCAAAGCAACAUAAUUGAUAAAAUACCCACAACUCUCACAAAAAUAAAUAAUUCCGGAUUGCUCUCGAUUUAAUUCAAAGUUGAUAUUCAUCAACAGCACACCUUUCGAUCCAAAAAAUCGUUCGUGCAAAAUUUAUUUGUAUUGAUAGAUUUUGAUAGACUACAGUCAGUUUCUGGAUCGAAGGUCGUGUUUUAUAUGAAUUAUAUGACUAAAUUUGAAAAAAGUGGAGAUUUCUGCAGAAAACCAGACCGAUACCGGUUUUGUCUUGUAUAGAAUUCCACAAGCUGACGUUUUGGCGGGGAAAUCUUGGCACGUCGCGAUGGUAUAAAGAUUAUAUUAUCAAAUGAUAGCAAUUUUAUUUCAAUUCAUUCUGCUUUAUUUUUUAACACACCACAGGGCCGAUAUAGCUAAACAUGGUCUUAGUCCUUUUGAAUUUUAUUUAGAUGAACUUCCUAAAAAUAAAAGAGAAAUACUCUGUAGAUUUAGAGCAUCAAAUUUUAGAUUACCUGUAGAGACAGGACGAUGGUUAAACAUUCCAAGAAAUGAAAGAGUAUGCACUUUAUGUAAUAAUAAUGAUUUGGCUGAUGAGUUCCAUUAUUUAUUAAUAUGUACUGAUGAAACUAUUAAGAAAUGAAGAUUGGAAAACUUAGAUAGAUAUUAUACAAAUAGACCAGACAGAUAUAAAUUUAAACAGCUUCUUAAUUGUAAAAAUAUUAUUGUACUUAAAAGAUUAUGCAAAUUUUUAAUGGUUAUAAGGGAGAGGGCAUGUCCUCCAUGUUAACUGCGUGCUAUGUACAAUAUUGUAUUAUAUAUUACGAAUUACUUCUCCACAAUACACAUGUUGUAUGUAUUUGAGAAUAAAUAAUUUUGUUGUU